GACACAAACCAUACCACCCUGAACGCGCCCGAUCUUGUCUGAUCUCGGAAGCUAAGCAGGGUUGGGCCUGGUUAGUACUUGGAUGGGAGACCCAAGUGAUUUUUUCU
rnacentral:rRNA from 1 species